rnacentral:rRNA from 1 species
UACAGAGGGGGCAAGCGUUGUUCGGAAUUACUGGGCGUAAAGGGCGCGUAGGCGGCCCUCUAAGUCGAACGUGAAAUCCCUGGGCUCAACCCAGGAACUGCGUCCGAGACUGGGGGGCUAGAAUCCGGGAGAGGGAUGUGGAAUUCCAGGUGUAGCGGUGAAAUGCGUAGAUAUCUGGAGGAACACCGGUGGCGAAGGCGGCAUCCUGGACCGGCAUUGACGCUGAGGCGCGAAAGCUAGGGGAGCAAACGGG